AGUGAACGCUGGCGGUAGACCUAACACAUGCAAGUCGAACGGCAGCACAGUAAGAGCUUGCUCUUACGGGUGGCGAGUGGCGGACGGGUGAGGAAUACAUCGGAAUCUACUUUUUCGUGGGGGAUAACGUAGGGAAACUUACGCUAAUACCGCAUACGACCUACGGGUGAAAGCAGGGGAUCUUCGGACCUUGCGCGAUUGAAUGAGCCGAUGUCGGAUUAGCUAGUUGGCGGGGUAAAGGCCCACCAAGGCGACGAUCCGUAGCUGGUCUGAGAGGAUGAUCGGCCACACUGGAACUGAGCCACGGUCCAGACUCCUACGGGAGGCAGCAGUGGGGAAUAUUGGACAAUGGGCGCAAGCCUGAUCCAGCCAUACCGCGUGGGUGAAGAGGGCCUUCGGGUUGUAAAGCCCUUUUGUUGGGAAAGAAAAGCAGCAGGUUAAUACCCCGCUGUUCUGACGGUACCCAAAGAAUAAGCACCGGCUAACUUCGUG
rnacentral:rRNA from 1 species